rnacentral:lncRNA from 1 species
AACUAAUUUACAAAGACAUGAAGCCAAGGCAGGGUAUCACCGUUCACCGUGCGUGGCAAAUCCUGGUAACUUCGUUAGUACCCGGUAGGUGCACAAAAGCUCACCCCACAUCUAGAAAGUUUAGUUAAUCAGCGCCCGAACGAGAACCAGAAGCUGAAAAGUCGCAAAAACAAAUAACGAAUGCUGUGUCACAAACUUCCAUGUUUCCCUGGGGCUGCACAAGAUUUUAAAAGUAACGUUACCGGCCUAAUUAGGCGGUAAGGCUGCGUAGUACAUAUCUGUCCUCAGGAAGGAGGGGAAGAGCACGAGCGCAUACAUAUGAGGAUGCCGCCACCAGGUAGGCUCCGCUGUUGAAGUGGUGACUAUGCUCUUGGAGACGUGGUCCGCAGAACUCCUAGCACAGAACUCCUAGCACUGAAGGGGAAAGUAAAGCAGGCCUGCUCUGGAUGCCUUGCCUAGCUGGCCCGACUGCCUUGCCUAGCUGGCCCGACUGCCUUGCCGUACCUGACUCCUGCGAAAACACAGCUGACGUCGCAGAAAAGGAAAUCAGUCACGUACAUAACAUCCCUUCGCCUCCUUGCUAUCAUUAUUUCUAUCAUACCUAAGGACACAGGCAAGCCCAGCAACAGGCAUGUCCAAUCUCACAGCCGGCACAAGCCAAACACAUCCACUGGAAGACAGGCACACGUUGGCCAAGGAAACGACGGGGGCUUAAAUUAACAAAACGGUGAAAUGCUCAUUGACUGUACUAUGCUUCCCGGGCUCACGCAAACAAACGUACAUACAUACAUACAUACAUACAUUCAUUCACGAAGACAAGCCUAAAGCAGAUUUGCAACAGAGAGAUGCUAAAAACAAAAUAGACACCCCUCACACACAAUACAGAGAUGCACACAAAAGGGUCGCGGUAGGGGUCAGCGGGCCAGCAAGCCCCUGCGGUGCACAAGCGGGGGUGACCUGAUGCACAUAAAAGACCUCCGCACCACACAAGUCCUCUCUGCCGCCCUCUCUACCGCUUUCGUCGAACAACUCAUCACAGCGCAUUCGCGCAUAGGCACACACAUUUCAUACGCACAUACAUACACAUCUACUUGCUGACACAUACACACAUAAAUACUCUGACACACAUUCACUCAUGCACGUAUAUACGUGCGCCCAGGUAACGCAUACUGUUCAUCAUCAUCAUCAUCAUCACCACGCGGUGUCACUUACGGGCGAACCCCUCUCGCACCAGCCCAGCAAACCGCCCGCAGAGUCGAUUCAGAUUCUUGGGGGACGUACGUAUACACGUAAACACACACGCACAACGCAGACAGACAGACGGACAGGUGAACAGACGGGGUGGAGGGUUCUGCGGCCUAACAGUCAAGUACAGAGGUCCGAAAGCGAGUAGGCACAUCGCUCAUGAAGUGGAGAGGAGCGAGGCAAGAGCGCACAUUCACUUAGAUGUCUAGUAUUGCCUUGCUUCUAUGCCCCCCCCGUAAGACACGUCGUGCAACUGUGUUUCAUAUAAUUCAUUCCAAAAGACCUCACACCAAGGAAAGUAAUUCCCUCUCAUUUAUGCAGAAGAGAGUAUACAGGUAGACAGACAGACAGGUGGACAGACAUACAGGCACGCAAAGUCAUAAGGACAUACAUACAUACAUACAAGCGUCUUGCUCCGGUGGGUCGCCAUCAACGUUUCUUCCUCUUCCUCUUCCACUUGCACUCGAUUCGCUAAUUACGACAAUAAUAUAAUCAUCACUUUUUUCAAUUUGUUCGUCCACAUCCAUUCACAUUCACAACAAUAGCUGGUGAUGAGAUAUUAAUCAUAUCUUUUCGGUGAUGUCACUUGUAUUUGUCACACUUGUCCUCGCAAGCACGUGCGAAGAAAACAAUUUCAGGUUUUGGUUGACGACCUAACCGUUGACCGAUGACAGUUAAUUAUUGCUGUUAACGGGACUUGAUCAUGACCGUGGUAGUAACUCCUAUCCUUCCUCCCUUCCUCCCCAACGCCACCGCGACUGUGAAUUAUCUCCCCCCUUUACCCCCUCCCCGCCUAAUCUCUAACUGAAGGUGACGUGGACGUGGACGUGGAUGUACGGGAACGGCAGUUGCUAGACCGUUACCAUUGCCGCAACCGGCGGCGACUUCAGGGGCAGCAGCUGCAGCGGCUCGGGAGUCGGUUUUGUUGCUGGUUUGGUUUCAGUUGUUCCGUUUGGCGGCAACGAUUACAGUGGCGCGGGCAAAUGCUGCU